CGCGGGGUGGAGCAGCCUGGUAGCUCGUCGGGCUCAUAACCCGAAGGUCGUCGGUUCAAAUCCGGCCCCCGCAAGCA
rnacentral:tRNA from 3 species